rnacentral:sRNA from 1 species
GCAUUCGUCGGCAAGCUCGCCGGCGGGUUCUC